GGGCUGGUAGCUCAGCCGGCAGAGCAGCGGACUCUUAAUCCGCGGGUCGCGGGUUCGAAUCCCGCCCAGCCCA
rnacentral:tRNA from 1 species